AACGAACGCUGGCGGCAUGCCUAACACAUGCAAGUCGAACGAGACCUUCGGGUCUAGUGGCGCACGGGUGCGUAACGCGUGGGAACCUUCCCUUAGGUUCGGAAUAACUCCCCGAAAGGGGUGCUAAUACCGGAUAAUGUCUUCGGACCAAAGAUUUAUCGCCUUUGGAUGGGCCCGCGUUGGAUUAGCUAGUUGGUAGGGUAAAAGCCUACCAAGGCGACGAUCCAUAGCUGGUCUGAGAGGAUGAUCAGCCACACUGGGACUGAGACACGUCCCAGACUCCUACGGGAGGCAGCAGUGGGGAAUAUUGGACAAUGGGCGAAAGCCUGAUCCAGCAAUGCCGCGUGAGUGAUGAAGGCCUUAGGGUUGUAAAGCUCUUUUACCCGGGAUGAUAAUGACAGUACCGGGAGAAUAAGCUCCGGCUAACUCCGUG
rnacentral:rRNA from 1 species